rnacentral:snoRNA from 2 species
UUCACAUGAUGUUAAAACAAUAUUGCUACUUCAGACAGUGAUCUACACUGGAUGAGACUUUUUACACCAAGAUCUCUGAUAUA